UACAAUGCACUGCAGCAGGAGCCGGGGCGGAGGGCCAGCGAGUCCCUGAGUGCCAGCCAGCGUGAGGACCUCCAGGCCGCUGUAGAGAAGGUGCGCAGACAGCUCCUGCGUCAAAGCCGGGAGUUCGACAGUCAGAUCCUGCGGGAGCGGAUGGAGCUGCUACAGCAGGCCCAGCAGAAAAUCCGGGAGAUGGAAGGCAAGCUGGAGCUGCAGAGGCGUCAGCUGAAGGAGCUAGAGGAAAAGUUUUUGUUCCUUUUUUUGUUUUUCUCACUAGCAUUCAUUCUGUGGCCUUGAAGACUCCCAUGCGCCGAGAACUCGGGCUAGACAACGAAUUUCUGGAAUCACCCGAGUCCCCGUGGUGCCCCAUCCUCACUCAAACCAAAAUCCAACAGUGCAACAAAGCUAUUCAAAAUCCGGAGCCUGAACACAGAACUUAUGCACAAUUGACAGUCACUUGAAGGGGAGGCCUGGGGACCUGGCCAGCCUCUGCUGUGGAAUUCUGCAGGACAAUGGCAAGCCUCCCCAGUAUCCCCACUGUGACGUCUCCAAGAGCCAAGGGCAAAGGUGGAUCUGGAUGGCAGAAAUUUAAGUGCAAUUAGUGGAAACCCAGGACAUGGGAGCUGCUGCCUUGGGGAAUAGGCACAGGCCCUGUGUCCAUGCUGUGUGUCUCCCUGAAGGCAUUACAUGUGCCUAGAUGGACUCAGACAGCCCCUCUGCCCUGUGUACAUAAAUCUCCAUGGACUGAG
rnacentral:lncRNA from 1 species